CUAUCAGGGCCUUCUUGUUGCUUUCUUCACAUCAGUCUUUUGUUUUUAAGUCCCAGUUGCUGUUCUUUAGCAAAGUCCAUGGUAAACAGCCAAAAAUUUAAUAAAUUUCCUGUGUGGGAUCUAUCCCUCCCAGCCUACAGAGAUUUAAACGUCUACUCUUAACUUCCCGCAUUCUUCACUUAUUUGUUCUUUUUUUUUAUAGUCGAGAUAACAUCUCCAAGCUUUUCCGGUUUUGGAUUUUCAUAUUCUCUGUAUAAACUAUGUACUUCUAACUGACCUUACAUAAGUAUCUAUCAAAUACAGAUUAAACUAGCUUUGCAAUUAUUUAGUUCUACUGUUGUGCAUACGGUCAGCAAAGAAGUGACCAAACAAUGUGGCUUCAAGUGCUAUAAUGUUUGGGGGGCCAAGAAUAAAGCUUGUAAUAGCACAUAUUAUUGUAACAGUAUUAUCAGUAUAAUGUUAUUCAGUAAAUAAUUAUAAGUGUUGUUAAAUAGUGGAUUAAUUGUGCACCAUUCUUUUUGUAGAGUUGUUACUUUACAGCAGUUUUUUUUUCUUUCACCAACCUUUCUCUUUUUAUGGCUUUAUCUAGCUGUCUGAUUUGAGGCUUUUUUUCUCUUAGACAUAUUUGACUGUAAUGAUAUUACAUUAUGUUACUUUCUGUGAAAGUUUGUAAACAUUAAACAGCGAAAAACUUGCUGUCGCACUUCAGAAAUGGAAAUCAGUCUAUAGUUAAAAGCUAUAAUUAAUGGUGAGAUAACUAAAAUAAAUUACUGUAAAGGUUUCUCUGUGUGUGUAGCAGAAGCAUAGGACAGCAGAUAGAAGUACUUCUAGACCUGAUGUUGCAGCAAUCCAUCAUAUGAAACUUUAGAAUUGAUUCUUGUGGACUUGUAUCCCCCCUAUUAUCCAUUCCAGUUGAAUGUCACAAUUAUUCAGUGACAAAUGGUCUUGCUGCCUUUCCCUUUAGCUACUGUUCAUGUACAUAACUGUAUGUUGUGUUGACUAAAAGGGGGAAUUUUUUUCAGUUUCCAUGUUGGCUGAUGUACCCUGAAGGUACAGGUACAGUCUUGACUUUAUACUUUGAUGCAUGGACUGCCCAUUUUUGUCUGCAGACAACUAGCUAUGCACCAUUGAACUUACAAUAACAGAAUACAGAUGGGCAUAGUGUCAAACAUUGAACUUACAAUAAAAGAAUACAGGUGGGCAUAGUGUCAAACAUUGAACUUACACUAACAGAAUAUAGGUGGGCAUUGAACUUGCAGUAACAGAAUAUAGGUGGGCAUAGUGUCAAACAUUGAACUUACAGUAACAGAAUAUAGGUGGGCAUAGUGUCAGACAUUGAACUUAGAGUAACAGAAUAUAGGUGGGCAUAGUGUCAAACAUUGAACCUUCAGUUACAGAAUAUAGGUGGGCAUAGUGUCAGACAUUGAACUUGCAUAGUGUCAGACAUUGAACUUACAGUAACAGAAUAUAGGUGGGCAUAGUGUCAGACAUUGAACUUACAGUAACAGAAUAUAGGUGGGCAUAGUGUCAGACAUUGAACUUACAGUAACAGAAUAUAGGUGAGAAUAGUGUCAGACAUUGAACUUACAGUAACAGAAUAUAGGUGGGCAUAGUGUCAUACAUUGAACUUACAGUAACAGAAUAUAGGUGGGCAUAGUGUCAUACAUUGAACUUACAGUAACAGAAUAUAGGUGGGCAUAGUGUCAGACGUUGAACUUACAGUAACAGAAUAUAGGUGGGCAUAGUGUCAGACGUUGAACUUACAGUAACAGAAUAUAGAUGAGAAUAGUGUCAGACGUUGAACUUACAGUAACAGAAUAUAGGUGGGCAUAGUGUGAGACGUUGAACUUACAGUAACAGAAUAUAGGUGGGCAUAGUGUGAGACGUUGAACUUACAGUAACAGAAUAUAGGUGGGCAUAGUGUCAGACGUUGAACUUACAGUAACAGAAUAUAGGUGGGCAUAGUGUCAGACAUUGAACUUACAGUAACAGAAUAUAGGUGGGCAUAGUGGCAAACAUUGAACUUACAGUAACAGAAUAUAGGUGGGCAUAGUGGCAAACAGCGUGUUUUUUUACCAGCUUACAAAUUAUAACACACCAGAAUGUGUCAUACACAGGUACCAUAUCCUCUUUUAUGCACCCCCCACCCCCUCUUUGAAGAAGGAAGGGUAUAUUGUUUUGCAGAUGUCGGUUUUGAGGUGUGUAAAUCAAAGGGUAAGAUCACAGUGAAUGGGAACAAUUGAACUGUUUCUGGAUGAUAACUUGAGAAGGCUUGGGGCUAGGAUCAGGAAACUUUAUAGGGAGGCUGAUCAUGACCAGCAGAUGACCUCUAUUGAUUUUGAGGGCAGUAGGUCAAAGGUCAAGGUCACAGUGACCUGGAACAAUUAAACGUUUCUGGAUGAUAACUUGAGAAGGCUUGGGGCUAGGAUCAGGAAACUUUAUAGGGAGGCUGAUCAUGACCAGCAGAUGACCUCUAUUGAUUUUGAGGGCAGUAGGUCAAAGGUCAAGGUCACAGUGACCUGGAACAAUUAAACGUUUCUGGACGAUAACUUGAGAAUGCUUGGGCCUAGUUGAUCUUGACAAGGAGAUGACCCCUAUUGAUUUUGAGGUCAGUAGGUUUAAGUUCAAGGUCACAUUGACCCAAACGGUAGAACUUUUUUUUGCUAAACAACUUGAGAAUGCUUUGCUUUAAAAUCACAUAUGAUAAGGAGGUCACUUAUGGUUAAUGACCCAUAAUUUUUGAUUUGAUGUCAAAUGUCCAGUGCGCAGUGACCAAGUAAUUUCUGUUCCUUGUGCAAUUACUGAAUGUAUCUAGGGGGAAUUUCGUAUUCUACUUCUUUCAGGUGAAAGUAUGGCAGUUCAUUUAUAUGGACUUGCAGUUCAUUUUAUUGACCUUUGCUGACAAAUUUCAGUUUUAGUUUAUUAGACCACUGUGUAAGCUUAGUAUGUUUAAGUGAGAAACAUUCAUGAUGAUAAAUACUGUGAAGUCUUUUAUUUUUGUGGCAGAUUAAUUUGUACAUACAUUUCCUGUUUUUCUCCAAUCCAAGAACUAAAAUCAAAAGAACAAAGAAAACAUCCAUUCAUUUUAACUUCAAAAAAUUGAAAUCCAUUUUAAUAAUAUUCAUAUCCCUGAGAAAUAGCUGUUUUGUCAAAAAACAAAAAAAAAAACUGUAAGAUUUCAUAUCCAUGAAAUUAACAGAUUUCACAGUACUAUUGUCCAUCAAAGAUUGUGUCUCAUGUCAUUGUUUGGGAGAUUGCAUCAAAAUUUACUAUUAGUAAUUAUGUCUCCCACCACACACGGGUGUGGGAGACAUAUUGAUUUACUCAAGUCUGUGUGUGUGUGUGUGUGUGUGUGUCUGUCACAAAGCUUGUCCGCACUCUAAGUCAAACAUUUCUCACCCGAUCUUUACCAAACUUGAAAAAAAUGUGUCUGACCAUAAGACCUUGGCCAAGUUCGAUAACUAGCCAAAUCGACCCAGGCACUUUGGAAUUAUGGCCCUUGAAUUACUGAAAAAUCCUCAGAGCGCAUGCACUUUCGUGCACCCAAACCGUACCCUAUACUACUUUUAUUAGUAGUAUAGGGUACGUUUUGGGUUCAUGAAAACGCUUGCACAAGUAGUAUAGGGUACAUUUUGGGUCCAAGAAAGCGCAGACUGACGUACUAUUUAGAUGAUUAGGCAGUUGUGGGAGACAUGCGCUUUUCUCAAAAGCAUCUCUAGUUUAGAUAUAAGAUUAAGAAACUUAUCUUAUGAGAAAUUUAUAUUAUUGUUUUAAUGUUAUUGUCAUGAAUAAAGUACUAAAAUAAAA